rnacentral:snoRNA from 1 species
AUACCGUUGUUAAGGCACUUACGGAUCAUGUCCUUAAACCUUUUUCGUGCUUCAUAGAAUCUCUCUAAAUUGUUCUACUGAAAUAUGGAAAUCUCGUGUCUUAAUUU